AGAGGCUAAGUGCUUGGCCGAUAACCAAAAGGUCAGUGGUUCAAAUCCACUAGCCGCUU
rnacentral:tRNA from 1 species